rnacentral:rRNA from 1 species
GAUGAACGCUGGCGGCGUGCCUAAUACAUGCAAGUAGAACGCUGAAGGAAGGAGCUUGCUCUUUCCGGAUGAGUUGCGAACGGGUGAGUAACGCGUAGGUAACCUGCCUGGUAGCGGGGGAUAACUAUUGGAAACGAUAGCUAAUACCGCAUAACAGUGGAUGUUGCAUGAUAUCUACUUAAAAGGUGCAAUUGCACCACUACCAGAUGGACCUGCGUUGUAUUAGCUAGUUGGUGAGGUAACGGCUCACCAAGGCGACGAUACAUAGCCGACCUGAGAGGGUGAUCGGCCACACUGGGACUGAGACACGGCCCAGACUCCUACGGGAGGCAGCAGUAGGGAAUCUUCGGCAAUGGACGGAAGUCUGACCGAGCAACGCCGCGUGAGUGAAGAAGGUUUUCGGAUCGUAAAGCUCUGUUGUAAGAGAAGAACGAGUGUGAGAGUGGAAAGUUCACACUGUGACGGUAUCUUACCAGAAAGGGACGGCUAACUACGUG